GGGUCCGCCCGUUUCUCUAAUCAAGUUGUAACACUCGCUGCUGUGGUCCACAGCUUCAUUCCUUGAAGCCCGUGAGACACGAACGCUUCCAUUGAGAAAAACCUUCCAUCAGAAGAAGACUUCUCGUCUCAGUGGGACUGCUGAGUUGAAUGAGACGAGGUUUCACCAUGUUACCCAAGCUGAUCUCGAACUCCUGGGUUCAUGCGAUCCACCUGACUCAGCCUCACAAAGUGGUAGGACUACAGAAAAUGAACAGGACUAUUCUUCCUCAAACAAAGAGAUCGUGUGAUGAAGACUCACCAGAGCUGUUCUCUAUAAGCUUGAAGAGCAAUGGUAUCAGGUGCUUUUUUUUCUGAAGCUUUGGUAGUGUAACUGUAAGAGUCCUGGAAUUGGAAAAGCAAAUCCAGAAGUUGAGUUCCAUGACUUUUUUGCUGUUUGCCUUUGGAAUUUUUACUGAACACUACAAUGACUGCAUAAAAAGAAAAAUUGAUAGCAGAGUUGGAAACUAGCAAAAGAUGACAUCUCUAAGCCUGAAAGCCAGAAGGAAUGUUGGGAAUAUAUUGUUUAGAGGAUAACUUUGCAGAAAGGUCAGCAAACAUGCAAGCUACAACAUGAGAAGAAAUCUGUUCCAGAGCUCAGAGUGGGUGGGAAGGACAAAGUGGGAGCUGCCAGGGCAGAAGGGAAGGCUGGUGAAUAGUCUAUAAUGGAGAUUCUGGCUACAAUUAAAUCACUUGAAGACAUUUUUAUUAACAU
rnacentral:lncRNA from 1 species